CAUUUUAGCCUUUGCGCUCUCACGUUUUGACCAGUCUACGCUCAUAUUAUUCUUAACAGUUUUUGUUAAUUCAUGUGCAAUAGCCCUUAAUUCUUUAUCAUCCAUCGCUUCUUUUGCUGUUUCAUGUGAAGCUAAUGCAUCAUAAAAUGCAAUUUCUUCAGUACUUAAACCUAAUUCUUUUCCUCUUUCUUUUCUUGAUUUAUUUCUUUCGCCAUUUGAAUUAAUUCUUCUAUGACUUUUGAUGCUUCAAUAGAACGGUUAUUAUAUUUUUGUAUUGAUUUACUUAGCAUCUCAGAAAACCUUUUAGAUACAGUAGUAUUAGUUUUCAUUAAUGACUUAACUUGUCCUUUGAGUAAUUUGUUCAACAUUCAACUGCAACAUUUUUUUGUUUCAUUCCUUCGACAUCUUUUAGGAAGUCAUCUGAUAGGAUUGAUAAAUCGG
rnacentral:sRNA from 1 species